rnacentral:misc_RNA from 1 species
GCGUUCGUGGUUUACCCUGAGGCCAUCCAGAGUCUUCCCCUGCCCACCCUGUGGUCAAUCCUCUUCUUCCUGAUGCUCAUCACCCUUGGCAUAGAUAGUCAGUUCGCCAUGUUGGAGAGUGUUCUGACUGGAAUCGUGGAUUAUUUCCCCGGGCUCCGCUCCAAGAAGACUCUGGUUAUGCUGGUGAUCUCUAUAGUGUUCUACAUCCUGGGUCUUCCCAUGACCACGCCGGUAAACCAAAUAUUUCUACUUACUCAAGAAUCCAAGAUUUACGGAACAUCCAAUAUAAUUUAUUUUUUUUUAAAAUAUACCAGUAAUUGUGUAACGAUCACUUGAACCAGAGAGAUACAAAAAUCCAUCUGUACAAUUAUAAUUAUACAGUAACUGUUUUAGGUUGAUAAUUUUUUGUGAUCAAUUUAUCUUUUCAUCCAUAUUAUUGUAAUAACAAGAAGAUUUUUGGCAAAAUUUCUCGGUUUCGAUUUUAACGCAUUUUGCAAAACUAAGAAAAAGUUCUACAAGUGUUUUGUCGGGCAAAGUUGUUAUUAUAAGUUGUCAUCAUCUUUUCUGUUAAUGUAGCUGUAGAUUUACACCGCGUGUCAGCCCGGAUUUGUCAUUUAGAGCUAACGUUACAUAUUUUCGGCUUAAAGUAAUUUAGGCUACAAUCACUCACAGAGUCUAAAACUAGGUGUGUUUUUUUUCACAGGGCGGUAUGUACAUCCUACAGCUGAUGGACCACUAUGUGGCCUCCUGGUCCCUCCUCAUCGUGGGCCUGACGGAGGUCCUCGUCAUCAGCUACGUCUACGGAAUCAACCGGUAUUUGAAGGAUCUUGAAAUCAUGUUAGGUAGACCGCCAUUUUUGUGCUGGAAGAUUUGUUGGAUGUUCGUUAGUCCCAUCAUUAUAUGCAUAAUACUGUUGUUUGCGUGGGUCGACUACUCGCCCAUCCAGUACGGCAGCUACUCCUACCCUGAGUGGGCGGAGGCCCUGGGCUGGCUCAUGUCCUUCUUCUCCAUCAUCUUCAUCCCCAUCGUCAUGCUGUACAAAAUCAAUAAGGAGGACGAGGGAAAGAACGCGUGGGAGAAAGUGAAACUAUUAUGUACCCCGUCCCGGGAGUGGGGCCCGGCCCUGGUCCGUCACAGAGAGCUAGUGGACUACGUGGACGGGUUCGUGCAGGAUCCCUGGGUGGAGAGGGGGAGCCACCAGUACGUCAACUACGGAUAUGACGCAUCAAUGGGAAGCCAUACGACGACAGAUGUAUCCCGUCAAUCCUGGGCUUCCGGUUAUACCCAGAAUUCCCACGUGUCAUAUGAAUCCGCUGUUUGACCUAUAAUUUAUCCGUUUAUUACAUGAAAAAAGUCCCGGAAUAAUCAACUUACUGUGCAAUACCUUAUAUUCAUCGUGUAAUCAAAAACCAUUUAUAUCAUUUUAUACUCAUGUAAAUCCUUACUUAAUCGAUAUACUCAUUUUGUAAGAUGUGUCUGUAUAGUGUAUUAACAAGUAUUAAUCGUAAUGUUUUAAAUGCUUUUUAAUUUAUCAAUGUUUUGACAUUUUUUUUUUACACAUUGAUAUUAAAAUGUACAUAUUUUUUC